rnacentral:rRNA from 1 species
UACGUAGGGCGCAAGCGUUGUCCGGAAUUAUUGGGCGUAAAGAGCUCGUAGGCGGCCUGUUACGUCUGCUGUGAAAUCCCGGGGCUUAACCCCGGGCGUGCAGUGGAUACGGGCAGGCUGGAGGCAGGCAGGGGAGAACGGAAUUCCCGGUGUAGCGGUGAAAUGCGCAGAUAUCGGGAAGAACACCCGUGGCGAAGGCGGCACGGUGGGACGGUACUGACGCUGAGACGCGAAAGCGUGGGGAGCGAACAGG